rnacentral:rRNA from 1 species
UACGUAGGGUGCAAGCGUUAAUCGGAAUUACUGGGCGUAAAGCGUGCGCAGGCGGCUUUGCAAGACAGGUGUGAAAUCCCCGGGCUUAACCUGGGAACUGCAUUUGUGACUGCAUCGCUGGAGUGCGGCAGAGGGGGAUGGAAUUCCGCGUGUAGCAGUGAAAUGCGUAGAUAUGCGGAGGAACACCGAUGGCGAAGGCAAUCCCCUGGACCUGUACUGACGCUCAUGCACGAAAGCGUGGGGAGCAAACAGG